rnacentral:rRNA from 1 species
UACGUAGGGUGCAAGCGUUGUCCGGAAUUAUUGGGCGUAAAGAGCUCGUAGGCGGUCUGUCACGUCUGCUGUGAAAACUCGGGGCUUAACCCCGGGCCUGCAGUGGGUACGGGCAGACUAGAGUGCGGUAGGGGAGACUGGAAUUCCUGGUGUAGCGGUGAAAUGCGCAGAUAUCAGGAGGAACACCAAUUGCGAAGGCAGCUCGCUGGGACGCUACUGACGCUGAGACGCGAAAGCGUGGGGAGCAAACAGG